AACGAACGCUGGCGGCAUGCCUAACACAUGCAAGUCGAACGCUUUUGGGGCUUCGGCCCCAAGGGAGUGGCGCACGGGUGAGUAGCGCGUGGGAACCUGCCCUGUUGUGGGGGAUAACCGAGGGAAACUUCGGCUAAUACCGCAUGCGCCCGGAGCGAUCUUCGGAUCGAACCGGGGAAAGAUUUAUCGCAGCAGGAGGGGCCCGCGUCCGAUUAGCUAGUUGGCGGGGUAACGGCCCACCAAGGCACCGAUCGGUAGCUGGUCUGAGAGGAUGAUCAGCCACACUGGGACUGAGACACGGCCCAGACUCCUACGGGAGGCAGCAGUGGGGAAUAUUGGACAAUGGGCGCAAGCCUGAUGCAGCCAUGCCGCGUGUAUGAAGAAGGCCUUCGGGUUGUAAAGUACUUUCAGCGGGGAGGAAGGGAGUAAAGUUAAUACCUUUGCUCAUUGACGUUACCCGCAGAAGAAGCACCGGCUAACUCCGUGCCAGCAGCCGCCGUAACAC
rnacentral:rRNA from 1 species